rnacentral:rRNA from 1 species
CCCUAGGCUUUGGGAUAACCCUCGGAAACGGGGGCUAAUACCGAAUAUUACUGCUGGCCGCAUGGCUGGUGGUGGAAAGUUUUUCGGCCUGGGAUGGGCUCGCGGCCUAUCAGCUUGUUGGUGGGGUGAUGGCCUACCAAGGCGACGACGGGUAGCCGGCCUGAGAGGGCGACCGGCCACACUGGGACUGAGACACGGCCCAGACUCCUACGGGAGGCAGCAGUGGGGAAUAUUGCACAAUGGGCGGAAGCCUGAUGCAGCGACGCCGCGUGAGGGAUGACGGCCUUCGGGUUGUAAACCUCUUUCAGCAGGGACGAAGCGCAAGUGACGGUACCUGCAGAAGAAGCGCCGGCCAACUACGUGCCAGCAGCCGCGGUAAGACGUAGGGCGCGAGCGUUGUCCGGAUUUAUUGGGCGUAAAGAGCUCGUAGGCGGCUUGUCGCGUCGACUGUGAAAACCCGCGGCUCAACUGCGGGCCUGCAGUCGAUACGGGCAGGCUAGAGUUCGGUAGGGGAGACUGGAAUUCCUGGUGUAGCGGU